rnacentral:rRNA from 1 species
UACAGAGGGUGCGAGCGUUAAUCGGAAUUACUGGGCGUAAAGCGUGCGCAGGCGGUGAUGUAAGACAGAUGUGAAAUCCCCGGGCUCAACCUGGGAACUGCAUUUGUGACUGCACUCGCUGGAGUACGGCAGAGGGGGAUGGAAUUCCGCGUGUAGCAGUGAAAUGCGUAGAUAUGCGGAGGAACACCGAUGGCGAAGGCAAUCCCCUGGGCCUGUACUGAC